ACUCAAAGGAAUAGACGGGGGCCCGCACAAGCGGCGGAGCAUGCGGAUUAAUUCGAUGCAACGCGAAGAACCUUACCUGGGUUUGACAUGCGCGCUAAAGCUGUGGAGACACAGUGUCCUUCGGGGGCGUGCACAGGUGGUGCAUGGCUGUCGUCAGCUCGUGUCGUGAGAUGUUGGGUUAAGUCCCGCAACGAGCGCAACCCUCGUUCCAUGUUGCCAGCGGGUUAUGCCGGGGACUCAUGGGAGACUGCCGGGGUCAACUCGGAGGAAGGUGGGGAUGACGUCAAGUCAUCAUGCCCCUUAUGUCCAGGGCUUCACGCAUGCUACAAUGGCCGGUACAAUGGGCUGCGAUGCCGUGAGGUGGAGCGAAUCCCAAAAAGCCGGUCUCAGUUCGGAUCGGGGUCUGCAACUCGACCCCGUGAAGUCGGAGUCGCUAGUAAUCGCAGAUCAGCAUUGCUGCGGUGAAUACGUUCCCGGGCCUUGUACACACCGCCCGU
rnacentral:rRNA from 1 species